CGUAGGGUGCGAGCGUUAAUCGGAAUUACUGGGCGUAAAGCGUGCGCAGGCGGUUUGUUAAGAUAGGCGUGAAAUCCCCGGGCUCAACCUGGGAACUGCGCUUAUGACUGGCAAGCUAGAGUACGGCAGAGGGGGGUGGAAUUCCACGUGUAGCAGCGAAAUGCGUAGAGAUGUGGAGGAACACCAAUGGCGAAGGCAGCCCCCUGGGUCGAUACUGACGCUCAUGCACGAAAGCGUGGGUAGCAAACAGGAUUAGAUACCCUGGUAGUCCACGCCCUAAACGAUGUCAACUAGGUGUUGGAUGGGUAAAACCAUUUAGUACCGGAGCUAACGCGUGAAGUUGACCGCCUGGGGAGUACGGCCGCAAGGUUA
rnacentral:rRNA from 1 species